GGCGCGAUGGCCGAGUGGUUAAGGCGACAGAUUAGAAUACUUAAAGAUUGAGAUCCUUUAUCUGUUUCGGUUUCCGAGCGCAGGUUCAAGUCCUGCUCGCGUCG